rnacentral:rRNA from 1 species
CCCUUAGAUGUUCUGGGCCGCACACGCGCUACACUGAAGGAGGCAGCGAGUACUCCUGGAUCGAAAGAUUUGGGUAACCCGCGAAUCUCCUUCGUGCUAGGGAUUGAGGUUUGCAAUUAUCCUUCAUGAACGAGGAAUUCCCAGUAAGUGCAAGUCAUAAGCUUGCGCUGACUACGUCCCUGCCCUUUGUACACACCGCCCGUCGCUACUACCGAUUGAAUGAUUUAGUGAGGACUUCGGACUGGGACCGAUGCGGCUUUCGGGCUGCGUCGGUAUUCUGGAAAGAUGUCCAAACUGUAUCAUUUAGAGGAAGUAAAAGUCGUAACA